AGCAGCCGCGGUAAUUCCAGCUCCAAUAGCGUAUAUUAAAGUUGUUGCAGUUAAAAAGCUCGUAGUUGAAUUUCGGGGUUAGUAGGUUGGUCAUGCCUCAGGUAUGCACUGGUCUCACUGAUUCCUCCUUCCUGAUGAGCCGUAAUGCCAUUAAUUUGGUGUUGCGGGGAAUCUGGACUGUUACUUUGAAAAAAUUAGAGUGUUUAAAGCAGGCUAACGCUUGAAUACAUUAGCAUGGAAUAAUGGAAUAGGACGUUCGAUCCUAUUUUGUUGGUUUCUAGGAUUGACGUAAUGAUUAAUAGGGAUAGUUGGGGGCAUUAGUAUUCAAUUGUCAGAGGUGAAAUUCUUGGAUUUAUUGAAGACUAACUACUGCGAAAGCAUUUGCCAAGGAUGUUUUCAUUAAUCAAGAACGAAAGUUAGGGGAUCGAAGACGAUCAGAUACCGUCGUAGUCUUAACCAUAAACUAUGCCGACUAGGGAUCGGAUGAUGUUAAUUUUUUAAUGACUCAUUCGGCGCCUUACG
rnacentral:rRNA from 1 species